GAUGCCUACGGGGGGCAGCAGUGGGGAAUAUUGCACAAUGGGGGAAACCCUGAUGCAGCGACGCCGCGUGAGCGAUGAAGUAUUUCGGUAUGUAAAGCUCUAUCAGCAGGGAAGAAAAUGACGGUACCUGACUAAGAAGCCCCGGCUAACUACGUGCCAGCAGCCGCGGUAAUACGUAGGGGGCAAGCGUUAUCCGGAUUUACUGGGUGUAAAGGGAGCGUAGACGGCUGUGCAAGCCAGAUGUGAAAGCCCGGGGCUCAACCCUGGGAGUGCUUUGGAAACUGCCCGGCUAGAGUGCUGGAGAG
rnacentral:rRNA from 1 species